UCAGAUAUGGUGUAGUGGGAACAUUGUGUUAUUACAAAAGUUGAGGAAGUCCCGGGUUCGAUUCCCGGUGUCUGAC